UACGUAGGGUGCGAGCGUUAAUCGGAAUUACUGGGCGUAAAGCGUGCGCAGGCGGUUCGUUGUGUCGGCGGUGAAAGCCCCGGGCUUAACCUGGGAAUGGCCGUUGAAACUGGCGAACUGGAGUGUGGCAGAGGGGGGUGGAAUUCCCGGUGUAGCGGUGAAAUGCGCAGAUAUCGGGAAGAACACCCGUGGCGAAGGCGGCACUCUGGGACGGUACUGACGCUGAGACGCGAAAGCGUGGGGAGCGAACAGG
rnacentral:rRNA from 1 species